UCCAGACUCCUACGGGAGGCAGCAGUGAGGAAUAUUGGUCAAUGGCCGAGAGGCUGAACCAGCCAAGUAGCGUGAGGGAAGACUGCCCUAUGGGUUGUAAACCUCUUUUAUGCGGGGAUAAAGGUGUCCACGUGUGGAUGUUUGCAGGUACCGCAUGAAUAAGGACCGGCUAAUUCCGUGCCAGCAGCCGCGGUAAUACGGAGGAUGCGAGCGUUAUCCGGAUUUAUUGGGUUUAAAGGGUGCGCAGGCGGAGGUGCAAGUCAGCGGUCAAAUUGCGGGGCUCAACCCCGUACUGCCGUUGAAACUGCAUCCCUUGAGUGCGCGAGAAGUAUGCGGAAUGCAUGGUGUAGCGGUGAAAUGCAUAGAUAUCACGCAGAACUCCGAUUGCGAAGGCAGCAUACCGGCGCGCAACUGACGCUCAUGCACGAAAGCGUGGGUAUCGAACAGGAUUAGAUACCCCAGUA
rnacentral:rRNA from 1 species